rnacentral:rRNA from 1 species
AGAGUUUGAUCAUGGCUCAGAUUGAACGCUGGCGGAAUGCUUUACACAUGCAAGUCGAACGGCAGCACGGGAGCUUGCUCCUGGUGGCGAGUGGCGAACGGGUGAGUAAUAUAUCGGAACGUAUCCAAUAAUGGGGGAUAACUAGUCGAAAGAUUAGCUAAUACCGCAUACGCCCUGAGGGGGAAAGCUGGGGAUCUUCGGACCUAGCGUUAAUGGAGCGGCCGAUAUCUGAUUAGCUAGUAGGUGAGGUAAAAGCUCACCUAGGCGACGAUCAGUAGCUGGUCUGAGAGGACGACCAGCCACACUGGAACUGAGACACGGUCCAGACUCCUACGGGAGGCAGCAGUGGGGAAUUUUGGACAAUGGGCGCAAGCCUGAUCCAGCCAUUCCGCGUGAGUGAAGAAGGCCUUCGGGUUGUAAAGCUCUUUCGCAAGGGAAGAAAACUUAACCUCUAACAUAGGUUGAGGCUGACGGUACCUUGAUAAGAAGCACCGGCUAACUACGUGCCAGCAGCCGCGGUAAUACGUAGGGUGCGAGCGUUAAUCGGAAUUACUGGGCGUAAAGCGUGCGCAGGCGGCCUGAUAAGUCAGAUGUGAAAUCCCCGAGCUCAACUUGGGAACUGCGUUUGAAACUAUCAAGCUAGAAUAUGUCAGAGGGGGGUAGAAUUCCACGUGUAGCAGUGAAAUGCGUAGAGAUGUGGAGGAAUACCAAUGGCGAAGGCAGCCCCCUGGGAUAAUAUUGACGCUCAUGCACGAAAGCGUGGGGAGCAAACAGGAUUAGAUACCCUGGUAGUCC